rnacentral:rRNA from 1 species
AUAUCAAUAAGCGGAGGAAAAGAAACCAACAGGGAUUGCCUCAGUAACUGCGAGUGAAGCGGCAAAAGCUCAAAUUUGAAAUCUGGUACCCCUGGGUGCUCGAGUUGUAAUUUGGAGAGGCAACUUCGGAGGAGGCGUCUGUCUAAGUUCCUUGGAACAGGAUGUCAUAGAGGGUGAGAAUCCCGUGUCAGCGGACUGCCCUUCUCCAUGUGAAGUGUCUUCGACGAGUCGAGUUGUUUGGGAAUGCAGCUCAAAAUGGGUGGUAAACUCCAUCUAAGGCUAAAUAUUGGCGAGAGACCGAUAGCGCACAAGUA